rnacentral:rRNA from 5 species
AGACCCGAAACCCGGUGAUCUAGCCAUGGGCAGGUUGAAGGUUGGGUAACACUAACUGGAGGACCGAACCGACUAAUGUUGAAAAAUUAGCGGAUGACCUGUGGCUGGGGGUGAAAGGCCAAUCAAACCGGGAGAUAGCUGGUUCUCCCCGAAAGCUAUUUAGGUAGCGCCUCGUGAAUUCAUCUCCGGGGGUAGAGCACUGUUUCGGCUAGGGGGCCAUCCCGGCUUACCAACCCGAUGCAAACUGCGAAUACCGGAGAAUGUUAUCACGGGAGACACACGGCGGGUGCUAACGUCCGUCGUGAAGAGGGAAACAACCCAGACCGCCAGCUAAGGUCCCAAAGUCAUGGUUAAGUGGGAAACGAUGUGGGAAGGCCCAGACAGCCAGGAUGUUGGCUUAGAAGCAGCCAUCAUUUAAAGAAAGCGUAAUAGCUCACUGGUCGAGUCGGCCUGCGCGGAAGAUGUAACGGGGCUAAACCAUGCACCGAAGCUGCGGCAGCGAACGUAUCACCCAAGACAACUUUACGGAGUUGACGAUUGACGGAGCGAAGCGACGUCAAAGCGUUCAUUAAAGUCGAGUUGGCUUAGGGAUACGUUCGUUGGGUAGGGGAGCGUUCUGUAAGCCUGUGAAGGUGUGUCGUGAGGCAUGCUGGAGGUAUCAGAAGUGCGAAUGCUGACAUAAGUAACGAUAAAGCGGGUGAAAAGCCCGCUCGCCGGAAGACCAAGGGUUCCUGUCCAACGUUAAUCGGGGCAGGGUGAGUCGACCCCUAAGGCGAGGCCGAAAGGCGUAGUCGAUGGGAAACGGGUUAAUAUUCCCGUACUUGGUGUUACUGCGAAGGGGGGACGGAGAAGGCUAUGUUGGCCGGGCGACGGUUGUCCCGGUUUAAGCGUGUAGGUGUGUGUUCCAGGUAAAUCCGGUUCACUU